rnacentral:rRNA from 1 species
AUGAACGCUAGCUACAGGCUUAACACAUGCAAGUCGAGGGGAAACGAUAUUGGAAGCUUGCUUCCGAUAGGCGUCGACCGGCGCACGGGUGAGUAACGCGUAUCCAACCUGCCCAUCACUUGGGGAUAACCUUGCGAAAGUAAGACUAAUACCCAAUGACGUCUCUAGAAGACAUCUGAAAGAGAUUAAAGAUUUAUCGGUGAUGGAUGGGGAUGCGUCUGAUUAGCUUGUUGGCGGGGUAACGGCCCACCAAGGCGACGAUCAGUAGGGGUUCUGAGAGGAAGGUCCCCCACAUUGGAACUGAGACACGGUCCAAACUCCUACGGGAGGCAGCAGUGAGGAAUAUUGGUCAAUGGGCGAGAGCCUGAACCAGCCAAGUAGCGUGCAGGAAGACGGCCCUAUGGGUUGUAAACUGCUUUUAUAAGGGAAUAAAGUGAGUCUCGUGAGACUUUUUGCAUGUACCUUAUGAAUAAGGACCGGCUAAUUCCGUGCCAGCAGCCGCGGUAAUACGGAAGGUCCGGGCGUUAUCCGGAUUUAUUGGGUUUAAAGGGAGCGUAGGCCGGAGAUUAAGCGUGUUGUGAAAUGUAGACGCUCAACGUCUGCACUGCAGCGCGAACUGGUUUCCUUGAGUACGCACAAAGUGGGCGGAAUUCGUGGUGUAGCGGUGAAAUGCUUAGAUAUCACGAAGGACUCCGAUUGCGAAGGCAGCUCACUGGAGCGCAACUGACGCUGAAGCUCGAAAGUGCGGGUAUCGAACAGGAUUAGAUACCCUGGUAGUCCGCACGGUAAACGAUGGAUGCCCGCUGUUGGUCUGAAUAGGUCAGCGGCCAAGCGAAAGCAUUAAGCAUCCCACCUGGGGAGUACGCCGGCAACGGUGAAACUCAAAGGAAUUGACGGGGGCCCGCACAAGCGGUGGAGCAUGUGGUUUAAUUCGAAGCAACGCGAAGAACCUUACCAGGUCUUGACAUCGAUCUAAAGGCUCCAGAGAUGGAGAGAUAGCUAUAGAGAAGACAGGUGGUGCAUGGUUGUCGUCAGCUCGUGUCGUGAGAUGUUGGGUUAAGUCCCGCAACGAGCGCAACCCUUAUCCUUUGUUGCCAGCGGUCCGGCCGGGAACUCAAAGGAGACUGCCAGUGAUAAACUGGAGGAAGGUGGGGAUGACGUCAAAUCAGCACGGCCCUUACGUCCGGGGCUACACACGUGUUACAAUGGCAGGUACAGAGAGACGGUUGUACGCAAGUACGAUCAAAUCCUUAAAGCCUGUCUCAGUUCGGACUGGGGUCUGCAACCCGACCCCACGAAGCUGGAUUCGCUAGUAAUCGCGCAUCAGCCAUGGCGCGGUGAAUACGUUCCCGGGCCUUGUACACACCGCCCGUCAAGCCAUGAAAGCCGGGGGCGCCUAAAGUCCGUGACCGUAAGGAGCGGCCUAGGGCGAAACUGGUAAUUGGGGCU